rnacentral:rRNA from 1 species
AGUAAUACAUCGGAACGUGUCCCGUAGUGGGGGGAUAGCCCGGCGAAAGCCGGAUUAAUACCGCAUAUGCUCUACGGAGGAAAGUGGGGGACUCGCAAGGGCCUCACGCUAUGGGAGCGGCCGAUGUCCGAUUAGCUUGUUGGCGGGGUAAUGGCCCACCAAGGCGACGAUCGGUAGCUGGUCUGAGAGGAUGAUCAGCCACACUGGGACUGAGACACGGCCCAG